rnacentral:lncRNA from 1 species
UGGUAAAAUACUUUUCUUUAUUCAUUAUUCUGUUUUUUGUUUUACUUUGUCCAGUGCAUGUCAAGAUUCUGCAAACUAUCCUCUGUAUAACAUUAUCGAUUACAAUCAUCGUUAGACUAAAAGAACUCAAAUCUUUCUUUACAUCUUCUUUUUUUCCGGUUUUCAACCCACAAAUACUUCAUUUUGGUGAACUUAUGUCAAACUCUGUAGUUCUUCAUAUUUGUUUGUUUUCUUUUGUUUGAUGCCACAACCUUUUUCCGGUUUUCAACCCACAAAUACUUCAUUUUGGUGAACUUAUGUCAAACUCUGUAGUUCUUCAUAUUUGUUUGUUUUCUUUUGUUUGAUGCCACAACCUUUGUGCUUUAUCAUGCCAACUAAGUAUUACAUUUGAUCAUGUUCAGUAACAUUAUUUUCUUUUCGGAUAAAUAUUGCUUUAUCAUCUAUGAAACACACAACACCAUGUCUGUGAAGUAGCAUCUCAUUUUAACAGCAUAUCCAUUCAAGGAUCAUUAUUUUCCUUACUCCUUGACCUGUGCCUAAGCUAGUAAUUAUGCUCUGAGCUUGCUGCAGAUGC